UACGGAGGGUGCAAGCGUUAUCCGGAUUCACUGGGUUUAAAGCGCGUGUAGGCGGGAGGGCACGUCCGUUGCUGAAAUCCCCCGGCUCAACCGGGGAACGGGCGCGGAUACGACUCUCCUUGAGGGGCGUAGGGGGACCUGGAACUUCCGGUGGAGCGGUGAAAUGCGUUGAGAUCGGAAGGAACGCCCGUGGCGAAAGCGAGGUCCUGGACGCCUACUGACGCUGAGACGCGAAAGCCAGGGGAGCGAACGGG
rnacentral:rRNA from 1 species